rnacentral:rRNA from 1 species
AAUAUGGGACAAUGGGGGAAACGCUGAUCUAGCCAGCCCGCGCGUAGGAUGAAGGCCUUCGGGUUGUAAAGUACGUUUGGCAGAAAAGAAAACGUAGCUCCUAAUACGAAAUACUUCUGACGGUAUCUGUUGAUUGAAUAUCGGCUAACUAAGUGCUAGCCGCCGCGGUAAUACGUAGGGUACAAGCGUUAAUCGGAAUUACUGGGCGUAAAGCGUGUGUAGGCGGUUCGGAAAGAAAGAUGUGAAAUCCCAGGGCUCAACCUUGGAACUGCAUUUUAACUGCCGAGCUAGAGUAUGUCAGAGGGGGGUAGAAUUCCACGUGUAGCAGUGAAAUGCGUAGAUAUGUGGAGGAAUACCGAUGGCGAAGGCAGCCCCCUGGGAUAAUACUGACGCUCAGACACGACAGCGUGGGGAGCAAACAGG